rnacentral:ncRNA from 2 species
ACAUGUAGAUAUCAUCCCUUUCGUAUAUACUUGGAGAUAAGGUCCAGGAGUUUCUACCAGAUCACCGUAAAUGAUCUGACUAUGAAGGUGGAAUGGCUCGAU